UCUGGUGUCCUAGGCGUAGAGGAACCACACCAAUCCAUCCUGAACUUGGUGGUUAAACUCUUAAGUGACAAUACUGUAGGGGAGGUACUGAGGAAAAAUAGUUUGACACCAAAG
rnacentral:rRNA from 1 species